rnacentral:rRNA from 1 species
GAUGAACGCUGGCGGCGUGCCUAAUACAUGCAAGUCGAGCGAACAGAUGAGGAGCUUGCUCCUCUGACGUUAGCGGCGGACGGGUGAGUAACACGUGGAUAACCUACCUAUAAGACUGGGAUAACUUCGGGAAACCGGAGCUAAUACCGGAUAAUAUAUUGAACCGCAUGGUUCAAUAGUGAAAGACGGUUUUGCUGUCACUUAUAGAUGGAUCCGCGUCGCAUUAGCUAGUUGGUAAGGUAACGGCUUACCAAGGCAACGAUGCGUAGCCGACCUGAGAGGGUGAUCGGCCACACUGGAACUGAGACACGGUCCAGACUCCUACGGGAGGCAGCAGUAGGGAAUCUUCCGCAAUGGGCGAAAGCCUGACGGAGCAACGCCGCGUGAGUGAUGAAGGUCUUCGGAUCGUAAAGCUCUGUUAUUAGGGAAGAACAAAUGUGUAAGUAACUAUGCACGUCUUGACGGUACCUAAUCAGAAAGCCACGGCUAACUACGUG